rnacentral:snRNA from 1 species
UGUCUUCAUCUCUUAACA